CAGAUAUCAGGAGGGAACACCGGUGGCGAAGGCGGGUCUCUGGGCAGUAACUGACGCUGAGGAGCGAAAGCGUGGGAGCGAACAGGAUUAGAUACCCUGGUAGUCCACGCCGUAAACGGUGGGUACUAGGUGUGGGUUUCCUUCCUUGGGAUCCGUGCCGUAGCUAACGCAUUAAGUACCCCGCCUGGGGAGUACGGCCGCAAGGCUAAAACUCAAAGAAAUUGACGGGGGCCCGCACAAGCGGCGGAGCAUGUGGAUUAAUUCGAUGCAACGCGAAGAACCUUACCUGGGUUUGACAUGCACAGGACGUGCCUAGAGAUAGGUAUUCCCUUGUGGCCUGUGUGCAGGUGGUGCAUGGCUGUCGUCAGCUCGUGUCGUGAGAUGUUGGGUUAAGUCCCGCAACGAGCGCAACCCUUAUCUUAUGUUGCCAGCGCGUAAUGGCGGGGACUCGUGAGAGACUGCCGGGGUCAACUCGGAGGAAGGUGGGGAUGACGUCAAGUCAUCAUGCCCCUUAUGUCCAG
rnacentral:rRNA from 1 species